AGAAAGUAGCUGUUGGAGGCCCUGGGAGACUGGGAAGCCCAAGGCUGGAUGAGAAGGUGACCCGAGGGCUGAGGGAUUCACAGGUGAAACCAAACAACCUCCUCCCGAAGAAGAGGCUGAACAAGAGGUGGAUAUCACACAUUUGUGGGAGGACAAACAUUUCCAGUUGGAGCAGAGUCAGGAGGCAGAUUUUCAGUAUGCUUUGCAGGAACACUUGGCUCUACGAAACGGCGAGGUAUUGUGACCUGAGCUGAUGAAGACAACACUGAGGUUCGAGGGCAGCAGUUCACGCUGAUCACCAAUCACGUACCACUACGCUGGUUACAGAGCAUGAAAAGGGACAAUGCUAGACUGAUAAGAUGGGCCCUUAGUCUGCAACCAUAUUGUUUUGAGGUAAAGCAUUGCCCUGGAACCCAGAAUCUUGGUUUUGUGAG